ensembl:lncRNA
CACCAACCGCAUCUACAACAGCUCUCUACUCAAGUCCAACUCUUCUGAUUAUGCGAUCUUGUACAAACAAGUUACUGACAUGCUCAACUCCAUCUACGGCUGUGCCACGUGUAAAACACACGUGUUUUAUGGCAAUGUGUCAGCGAUGACCUUCAGCAAUCAAACUGGAACCGUGCUCGUAAAGGCUAGUCUCGUGUUCCAGUCAAACAAAACCAACGCUGAUGAGAUCAAAGGGCUGUUUAUGAACGCGACCGCUGCCGAUAAGGAAAUAAACGGCCUUAAAGUCAACCCUAAUUUCACACAAGUUUCAGUGAAAUCUGAGGAGGCUCCGAAUGCUUUAGUGACUUACGAGCUCACCAUGGACAUCACCAACCGCAUCUACAACAGCUCUCUACUCAAGUCCAACUCUUCUGAUUAUGCGAUCUUGUACAAACAAGUUACUGACAUGCUCAACUCCAUCUACGGCUGUGCCACGUGUAAAACACACGUGUUUUAUGUCAAUGUGUCAGCGAUGACCUUCAGCAAUCAAACUGGAACUGUGCUCGUAAAGGCUAGUCUCGUGUUCCAGUCAAACAAAACCAACGCUGAUGAGAUCAAAGGGCUGUUUAUGAACGCGACCGCUGCCGAUAAGGAAAUAAACGGCCUUAAAGUCAACCCUAAUUUCACACAAGGGCUGUUUAUGAACGCGACCGCUGGCGAUAAGGAAAUAAACGGCCUUAAAGUCAACCCUAAUUUCACACAAGUCAUAGCACCACCGUCCACCCCUGCACCAACUGUCUCCAGCACUUCCCAUACAACCAAGUCUCCACUUCUUGCAACUACACACUACAACACCGCCUCGUCCUUUAAUCAAAGUCCCAUUGCUCUGACGUCAAUUCUCCGCUAUACUGUUUCGUUCUGCCUGCUUUACUUCCUCAGCUAUUCUUUUUAAUUGUGUAAACCUGCCACUAGGGGCAGUGCAACAUCUUUAUAUAAUGAAAUACGUUAAUCUACAGGGUGUACCAACAAUCUCCUUACAUAGUGGACUAUGUUCACCAGCAUCACGUCGGUUGUGUCUUUAUGAGUGGAUGUUGGUGAAUGUCCACUUCUCGGUCUGCAACACUU